UACGUAGGUGGCAAGCGUUAUCCGGAUUUACUGGGUGUAAAGGGCGUGUAGGCGGGACUGCAAGUCAGAUGUGAAAAUUAUGGGCUCAACCCAUAACCUGCAUUUGAAACUGUAGUUCUUGAGUGAUGGAGAGGCAGGCGGAAUUCCAUGUGUAGCGGUGAAAUGCGUAGAUAUAUGGAAGAACACCAGUGGCGAAAGCGGCUCUCUGGUCUGUAACUGACGCUGAGGUUCGAAAGCGUGGGUAGCAAACAGG
rnacentral:rRNA from 1 species